AUUGAACGCUGGCGGCAGGCCUAACACAUGCAAGUCGAGCGGAUGAAGGGAGCUUGCUCCUGGAUUCAGCGGCGGACGGGUGAGUAAUGCCUAGGAAUCUGCCUGGUAGUGGGGGAUAACGUCCGGAAACGGGCGCUAAUACCGCAUACGUCCUGAGGGAGAAAGUGGGGGAUCUUCGGACCUCACGCUAUCAGAUGAGCCUAGGUCGGAUUAGCUAGUUGGUUGGGUAAAGGCCUACCAAGGCGACGAUCCGUAACUGGUCUGAGAGGAUGAUCAGUCACCCUAGAACUGAGACACGGUCCAGACUCCUACGGGAGGCAGCGGUGGGGAAUGUUGGACAAUUGGCGGAAGCCUGAUCCAGCCAUGCCGAGUAUGUGAAGAAGGUCUUCGGAUUGUAAAGCUCUUUAAGUUGGGAGGAAGGGCAGUAAGUUAAUACCUUGCUGUUUUGACGUUACCAAAAGAAUAAGCACCGGCUAACUUCGUG
rnacentral:rRNA from 1 species